CUGCCAGCCAAAGUGCGGUUUUGGCAAGUUGGCGCACCUGUAGCGUUCGAAAAUCAAAAUUUUACGACAAUAUUCCUUAUCAUUGUAAUAAAUACUUCAUCGAUUUUGACAAAUGUCACUUAUAGAGAUAAAACCAUAUUAUUGUGGAGGUAAUUUUAUUUUUUUUAUUUUUACGAAUUAUAAUGUCUUUUUAAAUUUCAAUUUAUCAGGUUUUUCCAGUUUUCAUUAUUGAUAUUCUAUCUUAAUUGAUUUUUAAUUAUUACCUAUAUUUGAACCCACGUGAAACAUAAACCUGCAUUUCAAUUUCCUGCAUCGGAAAAUUACGACUGGAAUUGACUCGUGGACUCCUUGAUUCAGUGGCGUUUAUGUUGUAGUCUGUGAGGUCAAAAGUUCAAUUAACAAGGGGACACUGUUUGGUUUUUCCUAAGACGAUUUAUUCGGAACUGUAUCAUCCAGAGGCGGUUAACUUUACAUAGACAGCGCGUAGUAAAAACUCAGCCAAGUUUCUGCAAGAUGCUUGUAUGGCGCGCCGACACAGGUCGAAAAUAUCAAUUUACAGUGGGAUAAGCGAGAUGCCAACAGUGAGGGUGUUUCGAGGUCGCAAGCUGAGCAAACACAACUUUAACUCUUAAAACAAAUUAGCAUUUUAGUUGGGAGUCGCAAGAACAUGCCAAUUUAGAUUAUUGCGGAAAUGUGCCAAGUUUCUUUAUGGUUUUUAGUAAAAAACAUAACCAAACUAUAUUGGAAUGUUAGCGCAACUAGUGUAUACACACAUUAUCAUGCUAAUAUGCUUCCUACAAUAUGAUGAGGUACAUCUCCACAUCAUGAAGAAAUCCUCGAAUACAAAAA